rnacentral:rRNA from 1 species
GGCUCAGAGCGAACGUUAGCGGCGGGCCUAACACAUGCAAGUCGAACGGGCAGUAGCAAUACUGUCAGUGGCGCACGGGUGAGUAACGCGUAGAUAAUCUACCUUCCAGCGGGGGAUAACGUUCCGAAAGGAACGCUAAUACCGCAUAAGACCACGGGGCUCUCGGGCUCUGCGGGAAAAGGUGGCCUCUCCUUGGAAGCUAUCACUGGAAGAUGAGUCUGCGUCCCAUCAGCUAGUUGGUGAGGUAAUGGCUCACCAAGGCAAAGACGGGUAGCUGGUCUGAGAGGAUGAUCAGCCACACUGGUACUGGAACACGGACCAGGCUCCUACGGGAGGCAGCAGUGGGGAAUAUUGGGCAAUGGGCGAAAGCCUGACCCAGCCACGCCGCGUGAGUGAUGAAGGCCUUCGGGUUGUAAAGCUCUGUGGGAAGGGGCGAAAAACCGCAAAGCGAAUAGUGAGCGGGUUGACGGUACCUUCUUAGCAAGCACCGGCUAACUCUGUGCCAGCAGCCGCGGUAAGACAGAGGGUGCAAACGUUGCUCGGAUUUACUGGGCGUAAAGCGCGUGUAGGCGGGCGUCUAAGUCGGAUGUGAAAUCCCUGGGCUCAACCUAGGAACUGCAUUCGAAACUGGACACCUGGAGUGAUGGAGAGGAGAGCGGAAUUCCCGGUGUAGAGGUGAAAUUCGUAGAUAUCGGGAGGAACACCAGUGGCGAAGGCGGCUCUCUGGACAUUUACUGACGCUGAGACGCGAAAGCGUGGGGAGCAAACAGGAUUAGAUACCCUGGUAGUCCACGCUGUAAACGAUGAGUGCUGGGUGUUUCGGGUAUUGACCCCCGAGGCGCCGUAGCUAACGCGUUAAGCACUCCGCCUGGGGAGUACGGCC